rnacentral:rRNA from 1 species
UACGUAGGGGGCAAGCGUUGUCCGGAUUUAUUGGGCGUAAAGAGCGUGUAGGCGGCCAGGUAGGUCCGUUGUGAAAACUCGAGGCUCAACCUCGAGACGCCGAUGGAAACCCCCUGGCUAGAGUCCGGAAGAGGAGAGUGGAAUUCCUGGUGUAGCGGUGAAAUGCGUAGAGAUCCGGAGGAACACCGACGGCGUAGGCAGCGCCCUGGCUGUGAAUAAAGCUGACACUGAGGCACGAAAGCUGGGGGAGCAAACAGG